UCCAGAACCUCCAAUGGUGCAGGACCUCC
rnacentral:piRNA from 1 species